UGGGGAAUUUUGGACAAUGGGCGAAAGCCUGAUCCAGCAAUGCCGCGUGUGUGAAGAAGGCCUUCGGGUUGUAAAGCACUUUUGUCCGGAAAGAAAUCCUUGGCUCUAAUACAGUCGGGGGGUGACGGUACCGGAAGAAUAAGCACCGGCUAACUACGUGCCAGCAGCCGCGGUAAUACGUAGGGUGCAAGCGUUAAUCGGAAUUACUGGGCGUAAAGCGUGCGCAGGCGGUUUGCUAAGACCGAUGUGAAAUCCCCGGGCUCAACCUGGGAACUGCAUUGGUGACUGGCAGGCUAGAGUAUGGCAGAGGGGGGUAGAAUUCCACGUGUAGCAGUGAAAUGCGUAGAGAUGUGGAGGAAUACCGAUGGCGAAGGCAGCCCCCUGGGCCAAUACUGACGCUCAUGCACGAAAGCGUGGGGAGCAAACAGGAUUAGAUACCCUGGUAGUCCACGCCCUAAACGAUGUCAACUAGUUGUUGGGGAUUCAUUUCCUUAGUAACGUAGCUAACGCGUGAAGUUGACCGCCUGGGGAGUACGGUCGCAAGAUUAAAGCUUAAAUGAAUUGACGGGGUCAUA
rnacentral:rRNA from 1 species